GCAAUACUAGAGACCGGCGCACGGGUGCGUAACGCGUAUGCAACCUACCUUUUACAGGGGAAUAGCCCAGAGAAAUUUGGAUUAAUGCCCCAUGGUAUAUUUUAGUGGCAUCACUAGAUUAUUAAAGUUCCAACGGUAAAAGAUGGGCAUGCGUCCUAUUAGCUGGAUGGUAAGGUAACGGCUUACCAUGGCUACGAUAGGUAGGGGUCCUGAGAGGGAGAUCCCCCACACUGGUACUGAGACACGGACCAGACUCCUACGGGAGGCAGCAGUGAGGAAUAUUGGACAAUGGGCGCAAGCCUGAUCCAGCCAUGCCGCGUGCAGGAAGAAGCAUCUAUGGUGUGUAAACUGCUUUUGUACGGGAAGAAACACCUCUACGUGUAGAGGCUUGACGGUACCGUAAGAAUAAGGAUCGGCUAACUCCGUGCCAGCAGCCGCGGUAAUACGGAGGAUCCAAGCGUUAUCCGGAAUCAUUGGGUUUAAAGGGUCCGUAGGCGGUUUGGUAAGUCAGUGGUGAAAGCCCUUCGCUCAACGGAGGAACGGCCAUUGAUACUGCCAGACUUGAAUUACUGGGAAGUAACUAGAAUAUGUAGUGUAGCGGUGAAAUGCUUAGAUAUUACAUGGAAUACCAAUUGCGAAGGCAGGUUACUACCGGUGGAUUGGCGCUGAUGGACGAAAGCGUGGGGAGCGAACAGGAUUAGAUACCCUGGUAGUC
rnacentral:rRNA from 1 species